CGCGUGCUUACACAUGCAAGUCGAACGGAAAGGCCCAAGCUUGCUUGGGUACUCGAGUGGCGAACGGGUGAGUAACACGUGGGUGAUCUGCCCUGCACUUCGGGAUAAGCCUGGGAAACUGGGUCUAAUACCGGAUAGGACCACUUCUUGGAUGUUGUGGUGGAAAGUUUUUUCGGUGUGGGAUGAGCUCGCGGCCUAUCAGCUUGUUGGUGGGGUAAUGGCCUACCAAGGCGUCGACGGGUAGCCGGCCUGAGAGGGUGUACGGCCACAUUGGGACUGAGAUACGGCCCAGACUCCUACGGGAGGCAGCAGUGGGGAAUAUUGCACAAUGGGCGCAAGCCUGAUGCAGCGACGCCGCGUGGGGGAUGACGGCCUUCGGGUUGUAAACUCCUUUCGCUAGGGACGAAGCGUUUUUGUGACGGUACCUGGAGAAGAAGCACCGGCUAACUACGUGCCAGCAGCCGCGGUAAUACGUAGGGUGCGAGCGUUGUCCGGAAUUACUGGGCGUAAAGAGCUCGUAGGUGGUUUGUCGCGUCGUUUGUGUAAGCCCGCAGCUUAACUGCGGGACUGCAGGCGAUACGGGCAUAACUUGAGUGCUGUAGGGGAGACUGGAAUUCCUGGUGUAGCGGUGGAAUGCGCAGAUAUCAGGAGGAACACCGAUGGCGAAGGCAGGUCUCUGGGCAGUAACUGACGCUGAGGAGCGAAAGCAUGGGUAGCGAACAGGAUUAGAUACCCU
rnacentral:rRNA from 1 species